UUGUAGGUUACUUCCUCAGAAUGUUGGCCUUCUCUAUGUUGGAGGUUAUGAAAGACCCUUUGCACAAAUCAAGGUGACAAAAGAGCUAAAACAGUAUGACAACAAAAUUAUAGAAUGCAAAUUUGAGAACAACAGCUGGGUCUUCAUGAGACAGAGAACAGACAAAAGUUUUCCUAAUGCCUACAACACCGCCAUGGCUGUGUGCAACAGCAUCUCAAACCCUGUCACCAAGGAGAUGCUAUUUGAGUUCAUCGACAGAUGUGCGGCAGCCUCUCAAGGACAGAAACGAAAGCGUCAUCUGGACCCUGACACGGAGCUCAUGCCUCCACCACCUCCCAAAAGACCACUCCCUUUGACCUAAGACCUGCCUGACUUUAGGAUUGAGAGGAAAGAUGAGUGAGAAAAAAAUGCUGUUUCCCCAUUUGCAGCCAGAGAAAUUCAAAAGAGAAUGUGGCUUGAUGUUGAUACACAUUUCAAUUUUUUUUUAAAGUAUUGUAGCCAGCCUGUAAAUAUUUGAAGCAUUUGUUUCCUCUGUGCUACAGUACAUCAUGGACUUAAACAUUUUAUUUAUAUCUGAUAAACUCAGCCUUACCUUGUGGAAUCUGAAGACUGAAAUAUCCAAAGGUUUAAACAAGAUUGAAAUCAAUGAAAAAGAGGCCUUGUUUAUAUAUGGAUACCUUCUACUUUUAAUUUAUAAACUUAGCAAUCUGGAACUGUGAGCACCUAGAACACUGUAUUUUUUAGAAAUUGUAUUUCAGCUAUGUUAAAAUUUCCUUUUAAAACAUUUAGGCAAUGGCAUUAAACAUUCUUCUUGUCGUUCAUCGUGGAUUUCCCACAUAUCUGAGAUUCUUAUAUUCAAAAACAAAUGACAAUGUUGUUAAGUAUUGUACUGUAUUAAACAACUUGGCCUGGCUUUAUCAUUUUAGGGAGGUUUCUUUGGAAAUGUAAAAGUAAAAGAGUAAAGCUCCAUUUUUGUGAAUUGCAUCCUUUGUAAAGGAAGUAUGUUGAGUAUUUUCAUCUGCUUCUGUUGUUUGAACCACAGUAUCAGAUCUCCAGUGUGCCCGUUGUGGCAGUGGUUUUGGGUUACUUCACAGGACUUGGAUGUGCACCACCAGGUCCCUUACAUACUGUUUCCUGGGGGACUUUUUUUUUUUUUUUUAAUGCCAGGACUACUGCUUUACCUCAGUGGUAUCCGUGCGUUGUAAAUUACAUUAAAACACACAACUCACUGUGAUUAUGGGAGUGAUAUCAAACCCAAGCAAUGUUGUGUUAGUUUCCUCGAACAAAGCGGCAAAAGAAAUGCCAGCUGACCCCUUUGAUUAGAAGGUAAUGGCAAUGGUGCCACUGGAAAAUGCUCUCCCACUGCUCCAUCAAUUCAGAGGCAAAGAGUAGACAUCUGUAGAAACUAAACAUCACGGAAUCUGAGACAUUUAUUUUCAAAGCCAGAAUUCUAUCUAUAGUUUAUUCUGGGAAUGCUAUUUCUGUUGUAUGUCUGAAUUUUAAAACGUUUACUGAUAGAUAAUGGAUUUAAAGAGCAGCUAAUUGGUCAUCUGCCAUUGUUGAGAAAUUGUGUUCUGAUUGGUUUGUGAAGGAAUCUGAGAAUUAGCCGAUUAAGAGGCUAAUGUAUUUAUUUUUAGAGGUUUUAAGUAUGUGUAUUUAAAACAAAUUUUCAUGAUCUGAAUUUUAUAUAUGUCUAUGCAUAUAUAUGUGAGUAUAUGCAACAGUAUAUAUUCUUUUACUAGCGUAGUCAGACAUGAAAAUCCAAACGACUUACCUAGUAGACUGAAUAUCUGGCAGGAUUUCUAUAUGGUAUAGCACAGGUUAACCAAAAAUGUACUUAUAUUCACCUGAGUUUCAAUGUUUUUAAACAAACUUUUCUCUUGCAGUGCUUUUUCUAUACGAAAUACUAGAGUCAUGUUUGGGCUUUCUCCUUUGUUGUCCCCAAGUUCUGUAAUGUAUAGUGAAUUUAUCCAAAAUGCCAUUUUAGUGUUUCUUUCCCAGAGUGUUUUUGUGCAUUUGGGUGCUAAAGGGAAUAAAACACCUGACCACCACAAUGACUGCAGAAAGAUGGAAAUUUGUUCAAGUUCCAUAGCGUCUUGUACUUUGUAGUGGAUCUAUAAAAGCCUAUGCAACUCUGAUGUCUACUUCACCAGGAUUAGUUUCUCUUUUCGUACAGUACGUUGCUUUCUUCUGAGCCUGUGUAAAUGCAGGGCUCUUUUGUGGGUAUAAGAAAAAGCUUUUGCCAGUGAUCUUUAAUGGAGUUAAAAUGUUUAUGGUAAUUGUAACCUUUUAAAUGAGUUAUGUGAAAAGAUCAUCUCAUUUUUAAUGCACCCAGAAAUUUUCUCCAUACCUGUGUGCAUUUUCCAGCAGUUAAUUUCUCCUUUCUUUUCAAUUAUAGUGAAGUAUAAUAGUUGGCCUUAUAAGUAGACCCCAUUUAGCCCCUGAACACACUACCAUCUGCAGUAUCAUAAAAAGUCAUCUAGAAAGUUGAGGAGAAAAAUCUAGAGGCAGGAUUUGGAAUAUCAGGAAGGAAGCGCUUCCCUUCUCAGCCCACUUCACAAAAACUGGUUUUUGACACUGAUGUUUUGUAGGCAAGAAGAAGAAAACUUUUCUGAGUUAUCACAUAUAAAAGCUUUUGCAUUGUGUUUGAAAAAGAUGUGGAUGACUCGACUGGCUGGAUGGUUAUAUUUGCUUUCCGUGAAAUGCUCAGAAAAUGUCAGGACAUUCCUUCUCUAAUUGUGUCAGUGUGUAUUAUAAUAAAACUACUGAUUUA